GGGUUCUUGGCGGAGUGGUCUAACGCGACCGACUUAAGCUCGGUUUCCUUCGGGAGCGCAGGUUCGAACCCUGCAGAACCUA
rnacentral:tRNA from 1 species